UAUACACAAUUGUUAUACUUGAUGGGUCAAGCCAUGGUUACUUCGCUCUGCCUGUGAUGCAGAGUGCAGUCCUCUGACCACCAGCAUUGGCAUGUCAGACAUGCAGACACUCAAAGGCCCGCACCAGAACUACUGAGUCAGAAUCUAAUUUUUUACCAACAUCCUCCAGUUUUUUACAUCUGUACAUUAAAUUUUGAGAAGCAUAGGCCUCAUCAACUUCCUGCUUCAAAAGAUGAAAAUUCAGGCAGAUUCAACAGUGGGCUUCAGACUCACCUCUAAGAGCUUGCCUGCAGUAAGAGCACAAGAAUCAGGAGUGGAUUGGGUUUACUAUCUUACCCAGUCCAGCAUUUGAAGAUAUGGAGCCCAAGAGAUGUGUUUCUGGAAGAUGGAUGUGUUUGACUCCAUGAGCAUCCCCUAUAAAGGAACUCUGCAAAGUGUGAGAAUUGCUUUGUAGUCCGAAGGGCCCCUGAGUCUGUGAGCCGUGUGGUUCUGCCAAGAUUGCCCAGCCUGCCAAACUCUCAGCUGCCAAAAGACUAGCCAGGGCUUCCUUGUAUAAUGAAAGUACAAAAAAGGCCAUGUGCUUGGCGGACUUGCCUGAUUCCCUCUGCUUCAUAGAGAAAAUAAAUCUCUGAAGAAGUCCAACAGAGAGCUACCAUCUGGUCAGACUCCUGGCUUUCUCAACAUGGCUCCCACCACCCAUCGCCAAGUGUCAGGAGGGCUUCCUGUGUUGGAGGAAGGCGGGCCACGAUGUUUGGGGCCAAUAUGCUAAAAUCAGAUGGGAGCUUAAUGAGGGGGGACUUGGCAGACUGGUGUCGACCUGCCGUCUCAUCAUUGCUUCUGGCACAUUCACAGAAGGGUCAACAUUUCAGCAAUAAAAAUUGGAGCAAUUUAAGAGCUGGACCUGGAGUUGCUGACUAUCUGUUAAUUUCUUGAAGAAUCUGCAACACAUCCAAGUAAAAACCUACCCAACAGCCACAAUACUUUUCAUCCCGGAUGACUUGAAGGCUGCGCUGUUGGAAAAAGCUGCAGAACUAUUUUAUAGUGCUGACGCUAUGCACUGAUUUUGGCCCACUCUCUGCACACUUAGGUUUUCAGUCCUAAAAGCCAAAGCCAACUUUUCUUUCAUGUAGGGCAGUUCCUGCUCCACAAAAGUUCAUGUCUUGUAAGAAACCUUUCUUUUAUAGUAAAUGAUGGUAUGAAACUUGGUCAUUUAUUGUAUCAUAACUGGCCUUGGCGAUCUGCUUGGUUUAAAUAAUAAUCAUGUUUAUUCAUUGCAGUUUUGCUU